AUGUUCCAUCACGAAACUGUGAUCUGUAGACAACUUCUGACUGUGACCCUUCAUCUGCCCACACGGCCAUCGCACACAAAAUCCAGUGGUGCACCAUGUCCAUCCACCACAAUUCCGCUCCAACCAUCAUCGCCGACCUUCCUCCGCCAUUUUUUCCGCCACUAUGAGCCUUCAAUCUGGCCCGAAAUAAGCAGCAAUACUCACCAUAACCUCGACCAAAGCUCUCAGUGCAAGAAGAAAAACUUUGAGGUUUCUCAUUGA